rnacentral:lncRNA from 1 species
GCUGCCUCCUGGGAUACAGCAUCUGGCCCGGAGCCCGGAGCCCAGAGCCCCUCCUAAACCUGGUGCCAGUAUUUCCUCUUCCCUUUUGGUUGGGGAGACAUCCUGGAGCCAGUGCUCUGGGUCUGGGUCCAUAGGCUUGACUCAUCCUAAACUGUGCCUCCCGACUACUCUCAAAACCUCCAGGUACCUGGCAAGUGGAUGAAGCUGGGUGCUGGGGCUUCACAAAGCAUUUACAUUGAAACAUCGUUGAGCAGCAAAGUUCUUCAUGUGUUCAACACCUUUAAGCCAGGAUAUGGCCUGUGGGCCAUCAGUG